AGUGAACUUCGUUUGUAGAGGAAAUCCUUUUUGAGGUUUUUUGCCGAAAAAAGAUUGGAACGGAUAGCUGGAAUAGCU
rnacentral:sRNA from 1 species